UGGAAGUAAAAGUCGUAACAAGGUCUCCGUUGGUGAACCAGCGGAGGGAUCAUUACCGAGUUUACAACUCCCAAACCCAAUGUGAACGUUACCAAACUGUUGCCUCGGCGGGAUCUCUGCCCCGGGUGCGUCGCAGCCCCGGACCAAGGCGCCCGCCGGAGGACCAACCUAAAACUCUUAUUGUAUACCCCCUCGCGGGUUUUUUUAUAAUCUGAGCCUUCUCGGCGCCUCUCGUAGGCGUUUCGAAAAUGAAUCAAAACUUUCAACAACGGAUCUCUUGGUUCUGGCAUCGAUGAAGAACGCAGCGAAAUGCGAUAAGUAAUGUGAAUUGCAGAAUUCAGUGAAUCAUCGAAUCUUUGAACGCACAUUGCGCCCGCCAGUAUUCUGGCGGGCAUGCCUGUCCGAGCGUCAUUUCAACCCUCGAACCCCUCCGGGGGGUCGGCGUUGGGGAUCGGCCCUCCCUUAGCGGGUGGCCGUCUCCGAAAUACAGUGGCGGUCUCGCCGCAGCCUCUCCUGCGCAGUAGUUUGCACACUCGCAUCGGGAGCGCGGCGCGUCCACAGCCGUUAAACACCCAACUUCUSAAAUGUUGACCU
rnacentral:rRNA from 1 species